rnacentral:rRNA from 1 species
GAUGAACGCUGGCGGCGUGCCUAAUACAUGCAAGUCGAGCGAACAGACGAGGAGCUUGCUCCUCUGACGUUAGCGGCGGACGGGUGAGUAACACGUGGAUAACCUACCUAUAAGACUGGGAUAACUUCGGGAAACCGGAGCUAAUACCGGAUAAUAUAUUGAACCGCAUGGUUCAAUAGUGAAAGACGGUUUUGCUGUCACUUAUAGAUGGAUCCGCGCCGCAUUAGCUAGUUGGUAAGGUAACGGCUUACCAAGGCAACGAUGCGUAGCCGACCUGAGAGGGUGAUCGGCCACACUGGAACUGAGACACGGUCCAGACUCCUACGGGAGGCAGCAGUAGGGAAUCUUCCGCAAUGGGCGAAGGCCUGACGGAGCAACGCCGCGUGAGUGAUGAAGGUCUUCGGAUCGUAAAACUCUGUUAUUAGGGAAGAACAAAUGUGUAGUAACUAUGCACGUCUUGACGGUACCUAAUCAGAAAGCCACGGCUAACUACGUG